GCAGCACUUGGUCUCACAUGAUAUUUUCCUAUUGACACACAGGAAUCAGAAAUAACAGACUGAAUUUCAUCAUCACUCUCUUCUGAAGCUCGGGAAAUGCCUGAAAAAGUGAAGUUCAGAGACUCAGCAGCAGGACCAUUAGUCAUCUCCACAUUCUUAGCGAUCGGAGAUGAAGCUUCCUCUGGUGAAGCAUGAAGCUUUUCAUUGUCCUCUGGAUUGGUUGGCGGCGCAAUGGCGAAACAGGUAAAACCACCAAGUGAUAGGUUUUUGGUACCAUUAGGCGUUAGAUUUCCAGAUGUAGGCACAAAUUCAGUGGCUCGAACUUGUCCCUUGCCAAAAGAAUGAUCUUGAGAGUAAGCUUCUUCAGAAUGUUGCCGGGAUGAUGAUGAAGAUUGACUGUUCUCUGGUUCCACCUUGUUUUUAGCGGGAAAAGAUGAUCGAGGUGACUGAGUGUCAGCAGGGUACACUGCUUUAACAGCAGAAAUAUUGUUUUGAGGGGACCUUGGCUGAGAUUCAGACCCCUUCUUCUUCCUGCCGAAGCUUCGAGAAGCUUCAAGAAUGAAAGAGCCUGAUU
rnacentral:misc_RNA from 1 species